rnacentral:lncRNA from 1 species
GGGCGUGUGAGUUUUCUUGGAAAGAAAUCAAGAUAGGUGUGGGAUCUCCUCCUCUUGGGCAAAAGGGAGAGAGAAAAAGAAGGGAGAAAAGUUCGCUUAUCACCUCUCUUAUUUUUUCGAUCCUGCAUGAAAGGAGUUCACGCAUAGAUCCUCAGAUUAUCAUUUACGAGGGUCAAAGAAGGAGAUCCAAUUUGAAGGAGAGAAAUCUGUAAGAAAGCUAGCACUUCGAUGAUCUC